AAACACAACAUUCGAUACUCGACCACAGCAUUCGACCACAGUAUUCGACCACAGCAUUCGUCCACAACAUUCARCCACAGCAUUCGACCACAGCAUUCGACCACAGCAUUCGACAUUCGACCUCAGCAUUCGACCACAGCAUUCAACCACAACAUUCGAUACUCGACCACAGCAUUCGACCACAGCAUUCGMCAUUUGCCCACAGCAUUCGACACGAAAUUCAACCACAGCUUUCGACAUUCGMCCACGGCAUUCGACCACAGCAUUCAGCAUUCGACCACAGCAUUCGACCACAGUAUUCAACCACAGCAUUCGACCACAGCAUUCGACAUUCGAUCACAGCAUUUAACCACAGCAUUCAACCACAGCAUUCGACAUUCGACCACAGUAUUCGACCACAGCAUUCAACCACAGCAUUCGACAUUMGAUCACAGCAUUUAACCACAGCAUUCAACCACAGCAUUCGACAUUCGACCACAGUAUUCGACCACAGCAUUCGUCCACAACANUUCAACCACAGCAUUYGACCACAGMAUUCGACCACAGMAUUCGRCAUUMGACCUCAGCAUUCGACCACAGSAUUNAACCACAACAUUCNGWUACUCGRCCACAGCAUUCGRCCACAGCAUUMGRCAUUGSCCACANGMAUUCGRCACGGAAKUCAACCACAGYUUUGGAUUGUGCAGCGGU
rnacentral:sRNA from 1 species